rnacentral:lncRNA from 1 species
AUGGAGAUGUCAAGUUUUUUGUUAAAAAACAUUUCAUUAAAUAAAUGUAAAUAUUUUUUAUGUCUCACCCUUGCAAAGAAGAAAGCAGAACUGGAAGAUCUCCACAGAAUGUCGGCAGGUCCUUUACCUACAGGUCCCAAAAUAGGAGACAUGUACAGUUCCAUCUUCAGCCUGAGGAGGCUUAAAGAAUAUUUCCCAUUUUCCCAGGGAGAGCCCUAAGCACCAGGGCAUGGAAGACAUCGUCCUGCUUUCUGGCUGAAGCUGAAAACAAGAUUAAGUCAAAGAAUUUAUAGAAGAGAGAGGGUGAGCCUGUAACGGUUAGGAGAUAAGGCUCUUUGGGACAAAGAAGGAAUUCAGCCUGGGUCCGAGUGCUGCCCUCUCAGCUCUGGAGGUGAGCCCAGCACCCAACAGGCUCUGCUGGAAAACACCCAUGGGGCAAGGAGUGAGCACAGGGGGAGUGCCACAGGAACACACCUACACCUUGACUCAUCCUCACCAGCUGACAGACAGGCUCAGAGAAGCCAUGUGAAGUUGAGUGCAAGUUCAUUUGCUUGUGACCUGGGACAGAGCAAAACCUUUGCCUCAGUUCUCAGUCUUUACGGCCCAAGGAGUGAUAGGCACUGAAGGACUUGCACCCACUUUUGACUGCAGCUGGCAUGGUACUGUGCAGGCAAAGAAUAAGAGACAUUUGCUCUCUGCAACACACUGCCUAGAAAUCUGGCAGGUCCAAAAUAACCUUGUAUUUCCAUGAAUAGGGGGGGUGCAGCCAUGAGCCUUCAUAACAGAGUGCACAUUUUAUUUGAAUGCUGCUGGACAGAUUUUUGCUGAGAUUUCAAAUGAAAACCAGUUGGAAUUUUUGGUCUUUUCUGCCCCUGGAAAGCCCAGCUUGGCUGUGCAGAGAGUGUGGACUGUGCAUUCUGGCCCUUCUGCGCCCUCAUCCCCAUAACACAGAUUGUGCCUUAAAACCCACAAUAUAUCCUUUUAUCUGAAUACAAUGCAUGGGACUACGCGGGACGGAGCUGCUGGUGGAAGAGGUCAUGAAAUUCCACUGCACUAGCAUUUUGAAAGGGAAUUCUAUAAAAAAAAAUAGCCUGUGACACGGCUGUGGAGAGAAAUCCUGCACUCUGUCAAUGUCUUGGCAUGGAGCUAGCAGGGACUAUCGGACUGGACACAAGUGGAGAGUGGGCUUUUCUUGGCCUUGGCCACAAUGAGUGUGGUUGUCCAGGGAAAGUUUGUGGGGGAGGCUGAGGGGAUAGCAGAAGACAGACAUGUUAAAGGGAAGUGUGUUCCUACAUAAAGAGACAUUGUAACAUAUGUUAAGCAAAAAAAAAAAAAAAAAAAAAAAAAAAAGUCCAGGGCGGUGAAAGGGUUUCCCCAGAAAGGGGGUUGAGUAGAACAUAGUUUUGGCUUACCAUUAUACAUGUAUGCUAUUGUGUCUUUGUAGGCACAGGGCACUCACACUAGACCAGCCUUUGUGUCAAAUCCAGCUACAAUGCCGGGGUUCUCCAAGCCGCCUCUCAUCUGCAAAUCAGUUUGGGUUUGUUUCUACCCAUGCAGCUGCUAUUUUGUAUUUAGUCUAAUUUUAGCACAAGUACCAACAGCUGCAGAUGUAAAUGGUCCCAUUUGGUAUCUAGUGUGUCUGGAGUGCGAAGUGGCCUGAGGUACGCUGGGUUCCCCUGGCCUGUACAACUUAAAAAGUAGAUGAGUAAUAAACAGUUUCUGCAAAGUGUAUUGUGCA